rnacentral:lncRNA from 1 species
GUGAAGGUUGUCUGAAGGAGUCGACAGCAUUCUUAGGCGAAACUUACUACUUUGGGGUAAUAUUUAUGCAAAUGUAUUGAAUUUGAGUGGCAACGCUUAGAAAACUGUAUAUUUGAUCGAUUCAUGAAGGUUGGUGAAAGGAGUCGACAGCAUUCUUAGGCGAAACUUACUACUUGGGGAUAAAAAUGGUGCAGAUGUAUUGACUUUGAGUGGCAACGCUUAGAAAACUGUAUAUUUGAUCGAUUCAUGAAGGUUGUUGGAAGGAGUCGACAGCAUUCUUAGGCGAAACUUACUACUUUGGGGUAAAAUUUAUGCAAAUGUAUUGACUAUGAGUGGCAACGCUUAGAAAACUGUAUAUUUGAUCGAUUCAUGAAGGUUGGUGAAAGGAGUCGACAGCAUCCUUAGGCCAAACUUACUACUUGGGGAUAAAAAUGGUGCAGAUGUAUUGACUUUGAGUGGCAACGCUUAGAAAACUGUAUAUUUGAUCGAUUCAUGAAGGUUGUUGGAAGGAGUCGACAGCAUUCUUAGGCGAAACUUACUACUUUGGGGUAAAAUUUAUGCAAAUGUAUUGACUAUGAGUGGCAAC